UUGAAAACGACCAGCUAUCAGCAGGGAGCAAAGCAAGGAAGGAGGAGCUCAAGUCCUGCAUAUCAGUACAAGAACAUUAAAGUCUGCAAGCCAGAGUCAGAGUACAAAACCUGGACUUUGUGUGGUGGAGUUUGGCUUGCCAUCUGCCUGACAGUGCCAAGGAAGCACAGCAGUGAGGCAUGGGUGGAAAUGAGAAACAAAGAGAGCAGUUCACCUCUCCCCAGCCCUGUGACCCCUUGGAGGCUGUGCAGCUGCUCAAAGAGGACAUCACACAGCAGAACUGGAUUUCCUUGGGGUUUGUGCUGGAAGGGAAGCUCCAGGCUCUCACUAGCCGUGCACAGCCCCAGUCCUGGCUCCUCCAGCUCUGCCUGAUGAAAUGCUGUUGCCUUACACCUUGGAUCUCCUUGCAUGCUACCUGCUCCUGUCACCCGACUGCUUCCAGCCAUAGCCUGAAGUGCCAAAAAAAUGGACUGUAUGUGCCAAGGAGGAAUUUUCAUCUCAAAGUGAACUACUGAGGAAAAAAG
rnacentral:lncRNA from 1 species